CACGUAGGGCGCAAGCGUUGUCCGGAUUUAUUGGGCGUAAAGAGCUCGUAGGCGGUCUGUCGCGUCGGAUGUGAAAAUCCAGGGCUCAACCCUGGACCUGCAUUCGAUACGGGCAGACUAGAGUUCGGCAGGGGAGACUGGAAUUCCUGGUGUAGCGGUGAAAUGCGCAGAUAUCAGGAGGAACACCGGUGGCGAAGGCGGGUCUCUGGGCCGAUACUGACGCUGAGGAGCGAAAGCGUGGGGAGCGAACAGG
rnacentral:rRNA from 1 species